rnacentral:rRNA from 1 species
CGUAACACGUAUGCAAUCUGCCCCUGACUGGAGCAUAGCCCGGGGAAACUCGGAUUAAUACUCCAUAAUAUUAUGAAAUGGCAUCAUUUUAUAAUCAAAGUUCCGACGGUCAGGGAUGAGCAUGCGGCCCAUUAGCUAGUUGGUGAGGUAAUGGCUCACCAAGGCUACGAUGGGUAGGGGGUCUGAGAGGAUGAUCCCCCACACUGGUACUGAGACACGGACCAGACUCC